UGGGGAAUAUUGCACAAUGGGCGAAAGCCUGAUGCAGCAACGCCGCGUGAGUGAUGAAGGUCUUCGGAUUGUAAAGCUCUGUCUUUUGGGACGAUAAUGACGGUACCAAAGGAGGAAGCCACGGCUAACUACGUGCCAGCAGCCGCGGUAAUACGUAGGUGGCGAGCGUUGUCCGGAUUUACUGGGCGUAAAGGGUGCGUAGGCGGAUGUUUAAGUGAGAUGUGAAAUACCCC
rnacentral:rRNA from 1 species